AGUGAACGCUGGCGGUAGGCCUAACACAUGCAAGUCGAACGGCAGCACAGGAGAGCUUGCUCUCUGGGUGGCGAGUGGCGGACGGGUGAGGAAUACAUCGGAAUCUACUCUGUCGUGGGGGAUAACGUAGGGAAACUUACGCUAAUACCGCAUACGACCUACGGGUGAAAGCAGGGGACCUUCGGGCCUUGCGCGAUUGAAUGAGCCGAUGUCGGAUUGGGUAGUUGGCGGGGUAAAGGCCCACCAAGGCGACGAUCCGUAGCUGGUCUGACAGGAUGAUCAGCCACACUGGAACUGAGACACGGUCCAGACUCCUACGGGAGGCAGCAGUGGGGAAUAUUGGACAAUGGGCGCAAGCCUGAUCCAGCCAUACCGCGUGGGUGAAGAAGGCCUUCGGGUUGUAAAGCCCUUUUGUUGGGAAAGAAAUCCAGCUGGCUAAUACCCGGUUGGGAUGACGGUACCCAAAGAAUAAGCACCGGCUAACUUCGUGCCAGCAGCCGCCGCCG
rnacentral:rRNA from 1 species